GACGUAGGAGGCGAGCGUUAUCCGGAUUCACUGGGCGUGAAGGGCAUGUAGGCGGCUGUGUAAGUCGUGUGUUAAAGCCCCCGGCUCAACUGGGGGAGGUCAUGCGAGACUAUACGGCUUGAGGGCAGCAGAGGAACGUGGAACUCCCGGUGUAGCGGUGUAAUGCGUAGAGAUCGGGUAGAACACCAGUGGCGAAGGCGGCGUUCUGGGCUGCAACUGACGCUGACAUGCGAAAGUGUGGGGAGCAAACGGG
rnacentral:rRNA from 1 species